UCGCGAGGGAUAACAGGUUCUUGAAUCCCGAGAGCUCCUAUGAAAGGAUUCUGAUGGCACCUACAUGUCGGCUCAUC
rnacentral:rRNA from 15 species